rnacentral:rRNA from 1 species
CCUACGGGCGGCGGCAGUGGGGAAUAUUGCACAAUGGGCGGAAGCCUGAUGCAGCGACGCCGCGUGAGGGAUGGAGGCCUUCGGGUUGUGAACCUCUUUCGCCAGUGAAGCAGGCCCGCCCCUUGUGUGGGUGGGUUGACGGUAGCUGGAUAAGAAGCGCCGGCUAACUACGUGCCAGCAGCCGCGGUAAUACGUAGGGCGCGAGCGUUGUCCGGAAUUAUUGGGCGUAAAGGGCUUGUAGGCGGCUGGUCGCGUCUGCCGUGAAAUCCCCUGGCUUAACUGGGGGCGUGCGGUGGGUACGGGCCGGCUUGAGUGCGGUAGGGGAGACUGGAAUUCCUGGUGUAGCGGUGGAAUGCGCAGAUAUCAGGAGGAACACCGGUGGCGAAGGCGGGUCUCUGGGCCGUUACUGACGCUGAGGAGCGAAAGCGUGGGGAGCGAACAGGAUUAGAUACCCUAGUAGUC